AAUACAUGCAAGUCGAGCGGAACUUAGAAAGCUUGCUUUCUAAGUUUUAGCGGCGGACGGGUGAGUAACACGUGGGCAACCUGCCUAUAAGACUGGGAUAACUUCGGGAAACCGGAGCUAAUACCGGAUAAUAUAAAAGAUCACAUGGUCUUUAUUGAAAGAUGGCUUCGGCUAUCACUUAUAGAUGGGCCCGCGGCGCAUUAGCUAGUUGGUGAGGUAAUGGCUCACCAAGGCGACGAUGCGUAGCCGACCUGAGAGGGUGAUCGGCCACACUGGGACUGAGACACGGCCCAGACUCCUACGGGAGGCAGCAGUAGGGAAUCUUCCGCAAUGGACGAAAGUCUGACGGAGCAACGCCGCGUGAGCGAUGAAGGCCUUCGGGUCGUAAAGCUCUGUUGUUAGGGAAGAACAAGUAUCGUUCGAAUAGGGCGGUACCUUGACGGUACCUAACCAGAAAGCCACGGCUAACUACGUG
rnacentral:rRNA from 1 species